rnacentral:rRNA from 1 species
AGCGUACACGGUGGAUGCCCUGGCAGUCAGAGGCGAUGAAGGGCGUGCUAAUCUGCGAUAAGCGCCGGUAAGGUGAUAUGAACCGUUAUAACCGGCGAUACCCGAAUGGGGAAACCCAGUGUGACUCGUCACACUAUCAUUAACUGAAUCCAUAGGUUAAUGAGGCGAACCGGGGGAACUGAAACAUCUAAGUACCCCGAGGAAAAGAAAUCAACCGAGAUUCCCCCAGUAGCGGCGAGCGAACGGGGAGGAGCCCAGAGCCUGAAUCAGCAUGUGUGUUAGUGGAAGCGUCUGGAAAGGCGCGCGAUACAGGGUGACAGCCCCGUACACAAAAGCGCAUGUGCUGUGAGCUCGAUGAGUAGGGCGGGACACGUGGUAUCCUGUCUGAAUAUGGGGGGACCAUCCUCCAAGGCUAAAUACUCCUGACUGACCGAUAGUGAACCAGUACCGUGAGGGAAAGGCGAAAAGAACCCCGGCGAGGGGAGUGAAAAAGAACCUGAAACCGUGUACGUACAAGCAGUGGGAGCCCCACCACCAAAGCGUUUCGCUUUGUGUGGUGCACAAAGAAGCGUAACGACAGCACUGAAUGACGGUUAACGGAGCGCAAGCGACGUUCAACAUACAAAGUCAAGCAGUGGAGCGCUUUGGGGUGGGGUGACUGCGUACCUUUUGUAUAAUGGGUCAGCGACUUAUAUUCUGUAGCAAGGUUAACCGAAUAGGGGAGCCGGAGGGAAACCGAGUCUUAACCGGGCGUUAAGUUGCAGGGUAUAGACCCGAAACCCGGUGAUCUAGCCAUGGGCAGGUUGAAGGUUGGGUAACACUAACUGGAGGACCGAACCGACUAAUGUUGAAAAAUUAGCGGAUGACCUGUGGCUGGGGGUGAAAGGCCAAUCAAACCGGGAGAUAGCUGGUUCUCCCCGAAAGCUAUUUAGGUAGCGCCUCGUGAAUUCAUCUCCGGGGGUAGAGCACUGUUUCGGCUAGGGGGCCAUCCCGGCUUACCAACCCGAUGCAAACUGCGAAUACCGGAGAAUGUUAUCACGGGAGACACACGGCGGGUGCUAACGUCCGUCGUGAAGAGGGAAACAACCCAGACCGCCAGCUAAGGUCCCAAAGUCAUGGUUAAGUGGGAAACGAUGUGGGAAGGCCCAGACAGCCAGGAUGUUGGCUUAGAAGCAGCCAUCAUUUAAAGAAAGCGUAAUAGCUCACUGGUCGAGUCGGCCUGCGCGGAAGAUGUAACGGGGCUAAACCAUGCACCGAAGCUGCGGCAGCGACGCUUAUGCGUUGUUGGGUAGGGGAGCGUUCUGUAAGCCUGUGAAGGUGGCCUGUGAGGGUUGCUGGAGGUAUCAGAAGUGCGAAUGCUGACAUAAGUAACGAUAAAGCGGGUGAAAAGCCCGCUCGCCGGAAGACCAAGGGUUCCUGUCCAACGUUAAUCGGGGCAGGGUGAGUCGACCCCUAAGGCGAGGCCGAAAGGCGUAGUCGAUGGGAAACGGGUUAAUAUUCCCGUACUUGGUGUUACUGCGAAGGGGGGACGGAGAAGGCUAUGUUGGCCGGGCGACGGUUGUCCCGGUUUAAGCGUGUAGGUGUGUGUUCCAGGUAAAUCCGGUUCACUUUAACACUGAGGCGUGAUGACGAGGCACUACGGUGCUGAAGCAACAAAUGCCCUGCUUCCAGGAAAAGCCUCUAAGCAUCAGGUAACAUCAAAUCGUACCCCAAACCGACACAGGUGGUCAGGUAGAGAAUACCAAGGCGCUUGAGAGAACUCGGGUGAAGGAACUAGGCAAAAUGGUGCCGUAACUUCGGGAGAAGGCACGCUGACACGUAGGUGAAGUGAUUUACUCAUGGAGCUGAAGUCAGUCGAAGAUACCAGCUGGCUGCAACUGUUUAUUAAAAACACAGCACUGUGCAAACACGAAAGUGGACGUAUACGGUGUGACGCCUGCCCGGUGCCGGAAGGUUAAUUGAUGGGGUCAGCGCAAGCGAAGCUCCUGAUCGAAGCCCCGGUAAACGGCGGCCGUAACUAUAACGGUCCUAAGGUAGCGAAAUUCCUUGUCGGGUAAGUUCCGACCUGCACGAAUGGCGUAAUGAUGGCCAGGCUGUCUCCACCCGAGACUCAGUGAAAUUGAACUCGCUGUGAAGAUGCAGUGUACCCGCGGCAAGACGGAAAGACCCCGUGAACCUUUACUAUAGCUUGACACUGAACAUUGAGCCUUGAUGUGUAGGAUAGGUGGGAGGCUUUGAAGUGUGGACGCCAGUCUGCAUGGAGCCGACCUUGAAAUACCACCCUUUAAUGUUUGAUGUUCUAACGUGGACCCGUGAUCCGGGUUGCGGACAGUGUCUGGUGGGUAGUUUGACUGGGGCGGUCUCCUCCUAAAGAGUAACGGAGGAGCACGAAGGUUGGCUAAUCCUGGUCGGACAUCAGGAGGUUAGUGCAAUGGCAUAAGCCAGCUUGACUGCGAGCGUGACGGCGCGAGCAGGUGCGAAAGCAGGUCAUAGUGAUCCGGUGGUUCUGAAUGGAAGGGCCAUCGCUCAACGGAUAAAAGGUACUCCGGGGAUAACAGGCUGAUACCGCCCAAGAGUUCAUAUCGACGGCGGUGUUUGGCACCUCGAUGUCGGCUCAUCACAUCCUGGGGCUGAAGUAGGUCCCAAGGGUAUGGCUGUUCGCCAUUUAAAGUGGUACGCGAGCUGGGUUUAGAACGUCGUGAGACAGUUCGGUCCCUAUCUGCCGUGGGCGCUGGAGAACUGAGGGGGGCUGCUCCUAGUACGAGAGGACCGGAGUGGACGCAUCACUGGUGUUCGGGUUGUCAUGCCAAUGGCACUGCCCGGUAGCUAAAUGCGGAAGAGAUAAGUGCUGAAAGCAUCUAAGCACGAAACUUGCCCCGAGAUGAGUUCU